UGGGGAAUAUUGCACAAUGGGCGCAAGCCUGAUGCAGCCAUGCCGCGUGUAUGAAGAAGGCCUUCGGGUUGUAAAGUACUUUCAGCGGGGAGGAAGGGAGUAAAGUUAAUACCUUUGCUCAUUGACGUUACCCGCAGAAGAAGCACCGGCUAACUCCGUGCCAGCAGCCGCGGUAAUACGGAGGGUGCAAGCGUUAAUCGGAAUUACUGGGCGUAAAGCGCACGCAGGCGGUUUGUUAAGUCAGAUGUGAAAUCCCCGGGCUCAACCUGGGAACCGCAUCUGAUACUGGCAAGCUUGAGUCUCGUAGAGGGGGGUAGAAUUCCAGGUGUAGCGGUGAAAUACGUAGAGAUCUGGAGGAAUACCGGUGGCGAAGGCGGCCCCCUGGACGAAGACUGACGCUCAGGUGCGAAAGCGUGGGGAGCAAACAGG
rnacentral:rRNA from 1 species